rnacentral:piRNA from 1 species
UCAACACACAGAUGGUAAUGGAAGUCAUGC